GGCUCAGCUGGGGUAGGGAGACAUGGAUCAGCCACCCAGCUCGGCUUCCAGGCCCCCGACCUCCUUUCAGGUCAUCUUCCCCACUUGACAGGCCGAAGUCGGAUCUAAAUUCCACCUUCCCUCCGCGCGGCUUUGUAGCACCACCCAUUAUGCUUCAGCCACAGAAGCCAGCGGCCCUGACUCCUUCCACCUGACGCUCUGUCUCACCCAGCACACAACCUGGCCCCCACCAGCCCACCUCGAAGAGCCCCGUCCUCAGAGCCUGGAAGGCCACACUGAAGGCAGCUGGGUUGUGAAAAGGGUGAAGAGGUCAGAAGAGUCAAGGCCGCCCGCAGCGCCAGCGUUCCCUUUAAGAUCUGCGGUACGUGGUUCUCGCCCUCCCCUCUCCUCACCCGUCAUCGGCCUCCCGCUUCCCUCCAGCGUCCCUCUCCCCUCCGGUCUUUGGAGCCCAGCAGACCGCCCCUUCGCCCUGUGCCGUGUCGCCCCGAGCUCCUCACCGUGGUCGCUCCCCCUGAGGUAGCAGGGCCCGGGCCGUGGGUGAGGAGGGGGCUGCAGCCUCGAAACAACCCCCCACCACCAGGGUCCCCGCCCCCCGGGGGUUCGGGAUCCUGGUCGCCGGAGCCACCGCCCACGGGCGCCCCUCCGGCACUGACCGAGGCCAGGGCGGCCAGCGCGGUCGCCAGUUCUGCCCAGGCCCCUCGGGAGCCCAAGCCCGGGCCGCCUCCGGCGCCGGACCCCACGCCGCCCCGGCAGCGCAGCACCAGCAGGAAGCGGACAGUCUCCCCCAGGUAGAGGUGGUUGCGCCGGGGCAGCGCCCGGUACCGGCCCGGGUCCCCCGCCAGCUCCGCGCGUGGCGGCAGCGGCACGGCCGGGAAGUACAUCGAGUAGUCGCACUGGGACUCCAUGGGCGGCGAGGGCGGCGCGGGCUGGGGAGCGAGGUGGGCCGUGGCCGGCGGAGGGCGAGGGGGCCGCUGGGGUGGGCCCGGAGAGCCCCGAGCCCCGACCGGUGCUGGAGCGGCCGGACCGGCCCGACAGACCAGCCGGGGCCGGGAACCGGGGCAACGAGCCCGGAACCGAGACCCCGUGGGGCCGGAACCGGGGUGCUGGGCCGAAUGACUGGAGAGACACCGGAAGCGGAAGGGAAGGGGCGUGGCCCCGGAGGCGCCGCAAUUUGUGGGCGACCGGAUUUUGGACAAGAGGAGCGGCGUGUGCCUGUGGUUAGGCUGCUGCACGAAGGGUUUAGCCUGAGCGUUGUGCAUGAAGCCCACCACAUCAUCUAGACCCCAGCACAGGGCAUCGGCCAGCAGGACCAAUGACUCGUCAAAGUACUCGGCCACCAAGACCAGGUCAAAGACAGAGUCCAGCCAGGCCAGAUUCCACUGGAUGAAGGAUGAAGACCCCAAAUCUAAAGAGGCAGAGCUGGACGUCUGUCUGUGACCAUCAGCAACAGUGGGAACGGGAUGGAAGAGAGCAUUGGGAUCCAAGAGACCUGUCACUUAGCCUCUCUGAGAUUCAACCUCCUCAUCUGUGUAGUGGAGACACUUAUAAUGCCUUCCUGGCAGGAUGAUGGUAAGAUGACUACCCAGCACCCAAGGAGUAUUCAGUGAAAGUUCGCUCUUUCCCUGUAUGUGUUCAUUUGCCCAUUGAUUUUCUUCCUCCAAGAGGUUCGUGUGUGUGUGUGUGUGUGUACGGAUGACUGAGUACGUGCACUCAUCUCCUCCUUUAGAACUG